rnacentral:rRNA from 1 species
AUGACUCAGUAACGGCGAGUGAGCGGCAACAGCUCAAAUUUGAAAUCUGGCGGCCUCUGGGCCGUCCGAGUUGUAAUUUGAAGAGGAUGCUUUUGGCGAGGCGCCUUCCGAGUGCCCUGGAACGGGACGCCACAGAGGGUGAGAGCCCCGUAUGGUUGGACGCCGAGCCUCUGUAAAGCUCCUUCGACGAGUCGAGUAGUUUGGGAAUGCUGCUCAAAAUGGGAGGUAAACCCCUUCUAAAGCUAAAUACUGGCCAGAGACCGAUAGCGCACAAGUAGAGUGAUCGAAAGAUGAAAAGCACUUUGAAAAGAGAGUUAAACAGCACGUGAAAUUGUUGAAAGGGAAGCGCUUGCGACCAGACUUGUGCCCGUCGAAUCAGCCGCCGCUCGUCGGCGGCGCACUUCGGCGGGCUCAGGCCAGCAUCAGUUCGCUGCAGGGGGAGAAAGGCGAUGGGAAUGUGGCUCUUCGGAGUGUUAUAGCCCGCCGCGCAAUACCCCUCGGCGGACUGAGGACCGCGCAUCUGCAAGGAUGCU